CGCGACGGAAUAUGCCCAGGGCAUGACGGGCAGCUCCUCGUCCUCGGCGUAGGGGUCCACGACGCCGCCAUCGGCCGCCGCCACCCCUUCCUGCGUCUCCGCGGCGGUGCCUACCGCGACGGCCUGCACCCGCCUCUGCUCCGCGGCGUGCACCCGCACCGUCGCGGCCCGCCUCCGCACCGACUCCCUGUAGGUCCUGCAUCCGUCGCAGCUCCCGCCCUUGCUUCCACCUACCGCCUUCCACUGCGGAGACAAAAAAAAACACGCAAACAAGCUCACCAUGGCAGCUCAGCUGGACAGGGCCUAAACCGCAAUUGCGCGGCCGAAAACGCCGAGGCGCGCGAGGCACCGGGUGUUGGCGGAAACGGUAAGGGGGUAUAGGCGCGGAACUGGGCGUACCGGGGAAGCCGGGGAAGCGGCGGAGGCGACGGCGGUGCGCGCGGACAGCAUGGUGGCGGCGAGUUCCGGGGGAGCGGGUAGCGUGGCAGCGGGCGUCCUCCUCCCUCUUCGGAGCGGAGUGG
rnacentral:lncRNA from 1 species